CGGAAGCUACUGCUAUUGGAGUUCGAUUAAGCCAUGCGAGUCUAAGGGGUACUUGUACCCCUGGCAUAAUGCUCAGUAACACGUGGAUAAUCUACCCUUAGGUGGGGCAUAAACCCGGGAAACUGGGGCUAAUUCCCCAUAGAUACAGAACGCUGGAAUGCCUCUGUAUUCAAAGCUCCGGCGCCUAAGGAUGAGUCUGCGACCUAUCAGGUAGUAGUCAGGGUCACGACCUGACUAGCCAACGACGGGUACGGGGUGUGAGAGCACUUGCCCGGAGAUGGUUUCUGAGACACGAAACCAGGCCCUACGGGGCGCAGCAGGCGCGAAAACUUCGCAAUGCGGGAAACCGUGACGAGGGAACUCCAAGUGUCUAUGCAAUGCAUAGACUGUUUUUCAGCCUAAAUAGCUGUUAGAGUAAGGGGUGGGUAAGACCGGUGCCAGCCGCCGCGGUAACACCGGCACACCGAGUGGUAGCCACUAUUAUUGGGCCUAAAGCGUUCGUAGCCGGUUUAGUAAAUUCUUGGGUAAAUCGUACAGCUUAACUGUGCGGAUUCCGGGGACACUACUAGACUUGAGACCGGGAGAGAUUAGAGGUACUUGCAGGGGAGCGGUGAAAUGUUGUAAUCCUGCAGGGACCACCAGUGGCGAAGGCGUCUAAUCAUAACGGCUCUGACGGUGAGGAACGAAACCCUGGGGCGCAAACGGGAUUAGAUACCCCGGUAGUCCAGGGCGUAAACGCUGCUGACUUGGUGUUGGAGAUCCUACGAGGGUGUCCAGUGCUGGCGCGAAGGUAUUAAGUCAGCCGCCUGGGGAGUACGGUCGCAAGACUGAAACUUAAAGGAAUUGGCGGGG
rnacentral:rRNA from 1 species